rnacentral:rRNA from 1 species
AUAAAAUGAUGGGAGGAAUGUAGCUUCGAUCUCGGUUGAAGUGUUAUAGCCUCUGGUAGAUGUGAUGAUCGGGAUUGAGGAUUGCAACGAAUACCUUUUAGGCUACCCGCCUGAUCUCUGAUGGUUGCUAUGGUGCCGAAAGCUUGCUUACGGUUAUCAGAGUUGAUUGUCAAAAGGUUAGAACGGGUUAAAUUCGUUAAGGAUGUUGACGUAAUGGCUUUAAACGA